UACGGGGGGUGCGAGCGUUGUCCGGAAUCACUGGGCGUAGAGGGCGCGUAGGUGGUUUGAUAAGGGUGUGGUGAAAGUCCGGGGCUCAACCCCGGAUCUGCCGUGCCGACUGUCAAACUCGAGGACUGUAGAGGCAGACGGAAUUCCGGGUGUAGCGGUGGAAUGCGUAGAGAUCCGGAGGAAGACCGGUGGCGAAGGCGGUCUGCUGGGCAGUUUCUGACACUGAGGCGCGACAGCGUGGGGAGCAAACAGG
rnacentral:rRNA from 1 species